AGAGUUUGAUCAUGGCUCAGAACGAACGCUGGCGGCAUGCCUUAUACAUGCAAGUCGAACGAGAAAGUCACUUCGGUGGUGAGUACAGUGGCGCACGGGUGAGUAACGCGUAGAUGAUCUACCCUUCAGUCUGGGACAACUCUUGGAAACGGGAGCUAAUACCGGAUAAAACCUUCGGGUUGAAAGAUUUAUCGCUGAGGGAUGAGUCUGCGUACCAUUAGCUUGUUGGUGGGGUAAUGGCCUACCAAGGCGACGAUGGUUAGCGGGUCUGAGAGGACGAUCCGCCACACUGGAACUGAGACACGGUCCAGACUCCUACGGGAGGCAGCAGUAGGGAAUAUUGCGCAAUGGGGGCAACCCUGACGCAGCAAUGCCGCGUGAGUGAAGAAGGCCUUCGGGUCGUAAAGCUCUUUUAUGGGGGAAGAUGAUGACGGUACCCCAUGAAUAAGCACCGGCUAACUACGUGCCAGCAGCCGCGGUAAUACGUAGGGUGCGAGCGUUGUUCGGAAUUACUGGGCGUAAAGGGCGUGCAGGCGGAUUGGCAAGCCGGAGGUGAAAGCCCGGGGCUCAACCCCGGAGGGUCUUUCGGAACUGCCAGUCUUGAGAGGGUCAGGGGCCAGCGGAAUUCCUGGUGUAGAGGUGAAAUUCGUAGAGAUCAGGAGGAACACCGGCGGCGAAAGCGGCUGGCUGGGGCCACUCU
rnacentral:rRNA from 1 species